rnacentral:rRNA from 1 species
UACGAAGGGUGCAAGCGUUACUCGGAAUUACUGGGCGUAAAGCGUGCGUAGGUGGUUCGUUAAGUCUGAUGUGAAAGCCCUGGGCUCAACCUGGGAAUGGCAUUGGAAACUGGCGACCUAGAGUGCGGUAGAGGGUAGUGGAAUUCCCGGUGUAGCAGUGAAAUGCGUAGAGAUCGGGAGGAACAUCUGUGGCGAAGGCGGGUCUCUGGGCAACAACUGACGCUGAGGAGCGAAAGCGUGGGGAGCGAACAGG